rnacentral:lncRNA from 1 species
CAAGGAGAGACCAUAAUAGUAGGCACCCGAACACCUAACCUAUCAAACUUAAAGAAAUAAGGAGCAGGUCCUGUGUUCCCAUCUGGACUAGGAAUGUUAACAAAAGGAGUCUUCACAUGAUCAAAAAAUCCACCAUGCUCAUCAUAUGUAAUGACCAAAAGAGUUUCAUUCCACUGUGGACUUGCUCUUAGAGUCUCAUAAAUCUCCUUAACCAACAUUUGUCCAUUUGCAACAUCAUGAGAUGGGUGAUCAUCAUUUGCCGGCAAACCCGUCAAGUCAAAGUACCUAGGCUCAAUCACUGUCAAAGGUGGAAGCUUCCCAUUUCUUGCAUCUUUCUUGAACCUCAAAUCAUACUGAUGAAAUUUAGAUAUGUACUUCAAUUUCCUUAGAUUUCUAUAGAAAAGUGUUGUUGGUAUGUUUUGAUAAUAAAUUCCAAAGUCCAAGCCAUUAUGAUGCAUAGAAUCAAAGAUUGUUUUUUGAGGAUACCCUAUAGCUAAUUGUCUCUUGACAUGACUUGUUGAACCUUGAGAAGUUGCAGAAUACACAAAAAGCCUAUUGGGUUGUGUUGGACCAGGAAUUGAAGAAAACCACCUAUCAAAAACUGCAAAUUCCUUAACCAAAGCAGCAUAAACAGGAACAGAUUGUGGUUUAAACCCUUUCAUUACAGUCUCAGAAAGAUUCUGAGACACAGACAAUGCUUGUUCCACAAAUCCAUUCAUUGAAGGAAUUGAACCAUUACCAAAUACUUGUUGCAAAACAUCCUCAAAUGAAUGACCAGGAUCCGGAUCCACAAACUCUGCAUCAUCACUGAAACAAAUUGUGUCUUUUCUUGGACUUUCUGUAGAAACAGGGUUGCAUUCAUCUCCAUUGACACCAUCUAUUAAAGGGUUGAUAGCUUUCUUCAUCCAACCAAGCAUGUGAUCAAAGGAACGGUUUUCCAUAACCAAAACAACAAUGUUCUUAAUAGGUUGCUGUUUUUGUGCAUAGGUUGUUGGGUGAGGGAACACACUUGAAACAGUGAGAAAAAGCAGGAAAAUGGAGGAUCUGAUUUUGCUAGCUCCCAUUCUUUUCCUCAAGAUGGAUUCUUUUUGCAAAUGGGUGUCUAAUUCUGGUUGCUUAUGUGAAUUCACAAGGCAUUAAGUUAUAUUUAACACUGAAAAUAGAAGAAAUGAAAGUAUGUAUGUUAUUGUUAUAAAGUAGUGAAUCUAAAUGUGAAAUAAAGUUUUUGUGAGC